GACGAACGCUGGCGGCGUGCCUAAUACAUGCAAGUAGAACGCUGAAGAGAGGAGCUUGCUCUUCUUGGAUGAGUUGCGAACGGGUGAGUAACGCGUAGGUAACCUGCCUGGUAGCGGGGGAUAACUAUUGGAAACGAUAGCUAAUACCGCAUAAAAUGGAUUAUCGCAUGAUAAUCCAUUGAAAGGUGCAAAUGCAUCACUACCAGAUGGACCUGCGUUGUAUUAGCUAGUUGGUGGGGUAACGGCUCACCAAGGCGACGAUACAUAGCCGACCUGAGAGGGUGAUCGGCCACACUGGGACUGAGACACGGCCCAGACUCCUACGGGAGGCAGCAGUAGGGAAUCUUCGGCAAUGGACGGAAGUCUGACCGAGCAACGCCGCGUGAGUGAAGAAGGUUUUCGGAUCGUAAAGCUCUGUUGUAAGAGAAGAACGAGUGUGAGAGUGGAAAGUUCACACUGUGACGGUACCUUACCAGAAAGGGACGGCUAACUACGUG
rnacentral:rRNA from 1 species